rnacentral:rRNA from 1 species
UACGUAGGUGGCAAGCGUUGUCCGGAAUUAUUGGGCGUAAAGCGCGCGCAGGCGGUCCUUUAAGUCUGAUGUGAAAUCCCACGGCUCAACCGUGGAAGGUCAUUGGAAACUGGGGGACUUGAGUACAGAAGAGGAAAGUGGAAUUCCAAGUGUAGCGGUGAAAUGCGUAGAGAUUUGGAGGAACACCCGUGGCGAAGGCGGCUCUCUGGGACGGUACUGACGCUGAGACGCGAAAGCGUGGGGAGCGAACAGG